rnacentral:rRNA from 1 species
UACAGAGGGGGCAAGCGUUGUUCGGAAUUACUGGGCGUAAAGGGCGCGUAGGCGGCCUGUUAAGUCGAACGUGAAAUCCCCGGGCUCAACCCGGGAACUGCGUCCGAUACUGGCAGGCUUGAAUCCGGGGAGAGGGAUGUGGAAUUCCAGGUGUAGCGGUGAAAUGCGUAGAUAUCUGGAGGAACACCGGUGGCGAAGGCGGCAUCCUGGAC